rnacentral:misc_RNA from 1 species
GAAAUGCGAUAAGUAAUGUGAAUUGCAGAAUUCAGUGAAUCAUCGAAUCUUUGAACGCACAUUGCGCCCGCCAGUAUUCUGGCGGGCAUGCCUGUUCGAGCGUCAUUUCCACCAUCAGGCCCCCGGGCCUGUGUUGGGGACCUGCGGCUGCCCGCAGGCCCCGAAAUUCAGUGGCGGUCGCGCCGUAGCAACCGAGUGUAGUAACUAAAACGUCUCGCUCUGGCUCGCUGGGCGCGCUCCGGCCGUAAAACACCCCCCCUUUUCGCAAAGGUUGACCUCGGAUCAGGUAUGAAUACCCGCUGAACUUAAGC